rnacentral:rRNA from 1 species
CCUACGGGAGUCAGCAGUGGGGGAUAUUGCACAAUGGGGGGAACCCUGCUGCAGCGACGCCGCGUGGGUGAAGAAGCGCCUCGGCGCGUACAGCCCUGUCAGCAGGGAAGAAAAUGACGGUACCUGAAGACGAAGCCCCGGCUAACUACGUUCCAGCAGCCGCGGUAAUACGUAGGGGGCAAGCGUUAUCCGGAUUUACUGGGUGUAAAGGGGGCGCAGACGGCGAUGCAAGCCAGGAGUGAAAGCCCGGGGCCCAACCCCGGGACUGCUCUUGGAACUGCGUGGCUGGAGGGCAGGAGGGGCAGGCGGAAUUCCUGGUGUAGCGGUGAAAUGCGUAGAUAUCAGGAGGAACACCGGUGGCGAAGGCGGCCUGCUGGACUGCAACUGACGUUGAGGCCCGAAAGCGUGGGGAGCAAACAGGAUUAGAUACCCGGGUAGUC